GUAGGGUCCAAGCGUUAAUCGGAAUUACUGGGCGUAAAGCGUGCGCAGGCGGUUGUGCAAGACCGAUGUGAACUCCCCGGGCUUAACCUGGGAAUUGCAUUGGUGACUGCACGGCUAGAGUGUGUCAGAGGGGGGUAGAAUUCCACGUGUAGCAGUGAAAUGCGUAGAGAUGUGGAGGAAUACCGAUGGCGAAGGCAGCCCCCUGGGAUAACACUGACGCUCAUGCACGAAAGCGUGGGGAGCAAACAGGAUUAGAUACCCUGGUAGUCCACGCCCCUAAACGAUGUCAACUAGUUGUUGGGGAUUCAUUUCCUUAGUAACGUAGCUAACGCGUGAAGUUGACCGCCUGGGAGUACGGUCGCAAGAUUA
rnacentral:rRNA from 1 species